rnacentral:misc_RNA from 1 species
CUUUCUGUCACAGUCCUGACAAUCUCUCCUACAAAUAACCUAACCUCAUGCUGUUGUAUGUAACUAUAAUCAUCGGCUAAAAAAAUAUCAUAUUUGUCUAUUGUGCCGUUCGAACUGACUUCCUUGGUAAAUAGAUAGUUGACAAUAAUAUUAUAAUUGCCAAAAUGUCUCAGAAAGCUUCUACGAAGAACCCUAAAGCAAAAACUAGCGAGGAGAUCUUUACAGGCUUUCAAGCACUACGCGGUGAACAACGUCAAUUAGCCAAUAAGAUUUCAGAGUUGGAAAUGGAUCUGAAUGAGCACAAAAUAGUUAUUGAAACUCUUCGCGGUGUGGAUAAAACUCGUAAAUGUUUUCGGAUGGUGGGCGGAGUUUUAGUUGAACGCACAGUUGCUGAAGUGUUGCCUGAGCUUGAGAGCAACUGUGAACAACUGCCUAAAGCCCUGAAAGCCUUGGAGGAACAGCUGUCCAAAAAAGGACGAGAGAUUAAUGAAUAUAUAGAAUGUCAUGACAUACGCCUGCAGCGAGUAGACCAGCCGCCUGCGGAGGCAGCUCCAGAGCAACCUUCCAAGUCCAAUGUUCUGGUUGCCAGUGGUUAGGCUGGUCACUGAUAUUGCAUUGCAACUAACUGCUUUCAAACUAGUCUAAAUUAAUAAAGCAGUAUUGUGUAACUAUUUAUAUCUGAACAUUAACUAUUGUACUAAGCAGUGCUGACUUGGUUUGAAUUAUCUUGUAUAUAACACAGCACUAAGACAGUAUGACAUUGUCUGCAAUGGUCCUGGUUGGCAAUAAUUUGGAAACUACUUUGUCAAACAACAGGCAGGAGUGGCACAAUGCUAUCAGUAUUGUGUUACCUGGAGGUGGUUGUGGCCUGCUAUACACUUGUCAACUAUUUCUUAUAACUGCUAAGUAAAUAAAGAUUAAAUAUUCUUGAUCCUUAUUUAUACAUAAGCUGAUUAUUACAAUACAACUUUAUUUGGUUACCAUUAUGUCAUCAGCCUUCUGUCAUCUCACUACAAGGCAAACACAGAGGAUUGAGCUUGUGAUCACCAUGCUUGCUCAAUGCUGAUGGAUUGUUAGAUUUAUUUAGUAAUUCUCUUUUAAUCAGUCAUUUCUAUUUAAGAUGUACAUAGAGAGUACCUACAUAUAAACUUUGUAUAUGAAAAGUUUCAUUGGUACUUGCCUGACAUGGUAAUGACCCUAUCUAGGCCACCACUGAUAUAUUGUUGACACUCAAUGCAAUUCUCUCUCUCAAUCAUAUUCUCGAAUUUGUGUAAUGUCUUUCUUGGACCUAUAAGCCUCGUAUCCACUGGGUAACAUUUGUCGAGUGGAGACGUGAUGCACAACAAUGUCCGUAUUUCGUCCAACGCGCAACGCGUGCUAGUUCCUCUGGCGACAUGUUGUCGACGACUGAGAAUGUGUGGACAGACAAUGUUGUUAAACAAAUGUUCGGCGUCAACAUUCAACAAGUUGCAAAACAUGUUGAGCAACAUGUCGCGCGUCAAAUGUUGCUAGUGGAUACGAUGGAUUAUGGAUACAGGCCAACACAAGUGUCAUUGAGCCUGAUGUAAGCAUGUGUUAUCCAAAAUAAAAACCAAUUUCAAAAUUGUAUACAAUUUAAUAAAAAAUAAACAAUCUAUUUUGUAACAAGUCAAUAUUAAUUGGAUAGAUUACCUAAUACCCUAAAAAAUAUUUAACAAAUGGUUUAUAACCAUUCUCUUUCAAGUCUAUGUACUUUCUUAUACUAUUAUGAUUUCAUAUGACAUAAGAAUAAUAGUUGGUACUAUCAAAUAAAGUAAUUAAUUAUUAA